rnacentral:rRNA from 1 species
UGGGGAAUAUUGCACAAUGGAGGGAACUCUGAUGCAGCGACGCCGCGUUAGUGAUGAAGGUCUUCGUUUCGUAAAACUCUGUUCUAUGGGAAGAAACGGACUGUACCAUAGGAGAAAGCUCCGGCUAAAUACGUGCCAGCAGCCGCGGUACUACGUAUGGAGCGAGCGUUUUCCGGAAUUAUUGGGCGUAAAGGGUGCGCAGGCGGCUUUACAAGUUGGAUGUGAAAUAUUGUGGCUCAACCACAAACGUGCAUCCAAAACUGCAAAGCUUGAGUUAAGGAGAGGUAAGUGGAAGUCCUGGUGUAGCGGUGGAAUGCGUAGAUAUCAGGAGGAAUACCGGUGGCGAAGGCGACUGACGGGACUUAAACUGACGCUCAGGCACGAAAGCGUGGGGAGCAAACAGG